rnacentral:rRNA from 1 species
UUUUUGAAUAUAAUUUAAAGUAGGGCCUGCCCMCUGAAUUAUUGAAGGGCCGCAGUAUUUUGACUGUGCAAAGGUAGCAUAAUCAUUAGUUUUUUAAUUGAAAACUUGUAUGAAUGGUUUGAUGAGAAAACAGCUUUCUUUAUUUAAAUGUUAAAGAAUUUUAUUUUUAAGUUAAAAAGCUUAAAUAUUUUUAAUAGACGAGAAGACCCUAUAGAGUUUUAUUUUUUUAUAUAAUUAAAUCUUUAGAAUUUUAAAAUUUUAUUAUAUGAAAAAAUUUGAUUGGGGUGAUUGAAAAAUUAAAUUAACUUUUAUUUUUAUUAAACAUUAAUUUAUGAAUAGAUGAUCCAUUUAAGUGAUUAAAAGAAUAAAUUACCUUAGGGAUAACAGCGUUAUUUUUUUUUAGAGUUCAAAUCGAAAAAAGAGAUUGCGACCUCGAUGUUGGAUUAAAGUUAAUAUUAGGAGUAGAAGCUUAAUAAUUUGGUCUGUUCGACCAUUAAAACUUUACA